rnacentral:rRNA from 1 species
GUGGGGAAUUUUGGACAAUGGGCGCAAGCCUGAUCCAGCAAUGCCGCGUGCAGGAAGAAGGCCUUCGGGUUGUAAACUGCUUUUGUACGGAACGAAAAGACUCCUUCUAAUAAAGGGGGUCCAUGACGGUACCGUAAGAAUAAGCACCGGCUAACUACGUGCCAGCAGCCGCGGUAAUACGUAGGGUGCAAGCGUUAAUCGGAAUUACUGGGCGUAAAGCGUGCGCAGGCGGUUAUAUAAGACAGAUGUGAAAUCCCCGGGCUCAACCUGGGAACUGCAUUUGUGACUGUAUAGCUAGAGUACGGUAGAGGGGGAUGGAAUUCCGCGUGUAGCAGUGAAAUGCGUAGAUAUGCGGAGGAACACCGAUGGCGAAGGCAAUCCCCUGGACCUGUACUGACGCUCAUGCACGAAAGCGUGGGGAGCAAACAGGAUUAGAAACCCGAGUAGUCC